CGGGGUGUGGCGCAGCCUGGUUAGCGCGCCUGCUUUGGGAGCAGGAGGUCGACGGUUCAAAUCCGUCCACCCCGACCA
rnacentral:tRNA from 1 species